UACGUAGGGUGCAAGCGUUGUCCGGAAUUAUUGGGCGUAAAGAGCUCGUAGGCGGUUUGUCGCGUCUGCUGUGAAACCCGCGGCUCAACCUCGGGCCUGCAGUGGGUACGGGCAGACUAGAGUGAUGUAGGGGAGACUGGAAUUCCUGGUGUAGCGGUGAAAUGCGCAGAUAUCAGGAGGAACACCGAUGGCGAAGGCAGGUCUCUGGCAUUAACUGACGCUGAGGAGCGAAAGCAUGGGGAGCGAACAGG
rnacentral:rRNA from 1 species